CACUUCCACCUGAGACAACUCCAGAAAAAGGUUUUCCUUUUCUCCUGCUCCUCCGUAACUGGGGUUUCUAUUCAUUUGUGAUUAUUGGGUGCCCACAAUCAUCUCAUAUAUCACCCUGACUUUCCUUGUUGAUGGAAAUGGCAGCUCAUCUCUCACCAUUUAUUAUGUGGAGGACGGAAGCUUAAAGAGCUUCAGUGAUUUGACCGAGGCCACUGAGGGGCAAUGAACCCAUUACUCAGAAUGGGCUUCCCGGACUCCUCCCCCCCGCCACCCAGGUGAGAUGCGUCCUGUGAGCUCUGGGGCGGAUCUGGGCCAGAGGGAUCGGAUCGACAGAGGCUCCCCAGGGCGGGCAUGCUCUGGGCGCCCCGCUCUUCCAGCCCCUGGACUCCGGUGUGCAGACAGAAUGGGAUGUUCACAGGGCAGGGCAGCGAGGAAAGAUGCUUGGGAAGUUUAAGCCUCGCCUGCAGCUUCUACUUCAAGCCGGCUGGCAUAAUGGAUCAUCGCUUUGGAGACGGUUCUCCUGCCAGCUCUAAUACAGGAAAGGGGCGCGUCUGAAACCUCUCAGCCUUUCCCAGUCUCGCUUGUCUCCCAGUGAAAUGGAGAUCCUAACAUCCACCUGACACUUAGGGUUGUUCUCCUGCGGCUCAAGGCCUGAGGCUUUGUAAACUGGAAGGGACAGAGGGGACAGUAACUUCUCUCCCACUCCAUCCCCAACAGCACACUCUUGGAAGCACGAAACUUUUCCCCAACAUCUGACCUGCCCAGGCUCCUCCACCACCCAGGCAGGGAUCGUGAACUCGCGGUGCCCGCGCUCGGCGACGCGCCCUUCCGGCUCGCGCCACGGUUUUUGUUUCGGGUUUGGGUGGGAGAUGGUCUCGAUCCCGGUUGUUUCCGGUCCUCCCCGAUCGCUCCCGGUUAUCCGCUUGGCGGGUCCGGUUAUCCUCUCCUGGGCCGUCGGGUCCGGGCCGGGGUCGCGGCGGGGCGCCGGUCCGUCUCCCCACCCUCCGCGAGUCAGAAACAAAGGCGGGGGGGCGGCGGGCGCACCGGCGGCGGCUCUGCGAUUCGCCCUUCUCCUGCCGAACUCGCAACGUCAGCGG
rnacentral:lncRNA from 1 species